rnacentral:rRNA from 1 species
AUGGCGGCCAUGUUCAUUGCAGCCACCACCUGCUGCUCCUCCUCCUCCUUCCCCGCAAACCACAGCCGGCACAUCGCAACUUACUCCCGUGCGUCUCGCCUUCCUCUUCAUCGGCCAGCUUGGCGUCGCUCUCUCCUUGCUGCCUCCCCGCCGGCGAGCCGCCUCCGCUUCCGCCCCCGGACCUCCCUGUCGGCGUCUCCGGCCGCAGCGCACGACUACGAGUUUACCGAUACAAACGGAGAGGUGGAGCUGAGGCUAGACAUCGGAAAGCUUGGCAUUGAGAGUUCAAGAGAUGUUUUUGUUGAUGUCGAUGACAUGUCCCUGCUCAUCAGAGCCAAGUCUGAUGGAACACUGAGGACUUUGAUGAAUGUUGGAACGCUAUUCGACAGGGUUAAGUCUUCUGAGACGAUAUGGUUCAUUGACGAGGAUCAGUUGGUGGUGAACCUGAAGAAAGUCGAGCAAGAGCUGAAAUGGCCCGACAUUGAUGAAUCUUGGAAAUCCCUCACUGCUGGGAUCACACAGUUGUUGACGGGGAUCAGCGUUCACAUAGUUGGUGACUCCACGGAUAUUAACGAGGCGGUCGCUAAAGAGAUCGCUGAGGGCAUCGGGUAUCUCCCAGUUUGUACAAGUGAGCUGCUAGAGAGUGCCACUCAAAAGUCUGUUGACACCUGGGCGGCCUCGGAAGGAGUGGACUCUGUAGCUGAAGCGGAGUGUGUUGUCCUAGAAAGCCUUAGCAGCCAUGUCCGUACCGUGGUAGCGACUCUGGGUGGCAAGCAAGGAGCGGCGAGCAGGUUCGACAAAUGGCAGUAUCUUCAUUCCGGGUUCACGGUGUGGUUGUCGGUGUCCGAGGCCGGUGAUGAGGCCUCUGCCAAAGAGGAAGCCCGGAGAAGCGUUAGCACUGUUAGCGUGGCUUAUGCCAAGGCUGAUGUGGUGGUGAAGCUGGGUGGAUGGGACCCGGAGUACACGCGAGCUGUGGCACAGGGCUGCCUUGUUGCCUUGAAGCAGCUCACCUUGGCAGACAAGAAGCUAGCAGGGAAGAAGAGCCUUUACAUCAGGCUAGGCUGUCGAGGGGACUGGCCCAACAUCGAGCCACCCGGCUGGGAUCCUCAAUCAGAUGCCCCGCCCACCAACAUCUAG